rnacentral:rRNA from 1 species
AGGCUCGCUCUUAGUACGAGAGGACCGGAGUGAACGAACCAAUGGUGCGCCAGUUGUCAUGCCAAUGGCACAGCUGGGUAGCUAUGUUCGGUUGAGAUAAGCGCUGAAAGCAUCUAAGCGCGAAACUUGCUUCAAGAUUAAAUUUCCCUCAGUAGCAAUACUGAAUAAGACUCCAGAGAGAUGAUCUGGUUGAUAGGCUGCAGGUAUAAGUGUAGUAAUACAUUCAGCCGAGCAGUACUAAUAAGUCGAACGACUUUUCCUU